rnacentral:rRNA from 1 species
GAACGAACGUUAGCGGCGCGCCUAACACAUGCAAGUCGAGCGAGAAAGGGCUUCGGCCCCCGGUAAAGCGGCGCACGGGUGAGUAACACGUAGGCAAUCUGCCUCGAGGUGGUGGAUAACCCUCCGAAAAGGAUGGCUAAUACAGCAUGAGACCACGUCGUCGAAAGACGAUGCGGCCAAAGCCGGCCUCUUCAUGAAAGCUGGCGCCACGAGAUGAGCCUGCGGCCCAUCAGCUAGUUGGUAGGGUAACGGCCUACCAAGGCAAAGACGGGUAGCUGGUCUGAGAGGAUGAUCAGCCACACUGGAACUGAGACACGGUCCAGACUCCUACGGGAGGCAGCAGUGGGGAAUCUUGCGCAAUGGGCGAAAGCCUGACGCAGCGACGCCGCGUGAGCGAUGAAGGCCUGGUGUAAGACUCUGUUGG